AGCCGUCUGACCAAUAGCGGCGUCGCAGUGUCCAUAAAAUAGGUAGUGAAGAGCACGCGCGUCCUUUCCAGCCAGAGGGCUCGGCGGGAAGCGGCCGCGGAGUGCGGCUCGGCGGUGGCGGCGUCCUGAGCCCCCGUGCCCGAUCCUCGGCAGUCCCGGCAUUGCGGGCCGGUAAAAGGCGGUGUUCCCUGCUCCGGUGUUUGCGGUAAGUGAGGCUGAGUCCCGGGAAAUGCUCCUGCUCCGCAACGAGGCGGCUCUUAAAACACAAAGAAGCAGCUGCAGAAUGAACUGGAGGAAAGAAUUCACCGCCUUCUUCUCUCCCUCGUGGGUUAGUUCAAGGUUAAUGUCCUGGUAAGGUGGUGGGUGCAGUAGUGUGAGUAACUGAAGGGAUUUACAUUCUUUAGUGCUGCAGUGUGUAGAUGGAGAAUUGAAAUACUUUUUCCGUUUAGCUCCGUGGAAGAUAACAAGUUACUCCUGUAAUGUUUUCCCACUCUCAAGACCGGCUUUAAUUGUGAAUGCGUUACUGUUGUAUUUCUACUUCAGCUUCUAUACGAAGCAAGUUUUGUAGCUUACAGGUGAAUAAAGUUUUGAAAAGUC